GACGAACGCUGGCGGCGUGCUUAACACAUGCAAGUCGAACGAUGAAGCACCAGCUUGCUGGUGUGGAUUAGUGGCGAACGGGUGAGUAACACGUGAGUAACCUGCCCCUCACUCUGGGAUAAGCCUGGGAAACUGGGUCUAAUACUGGAUACGACCGAUCUCCGCAUGGAGUGUUGGUGGAAAGUUUUUGUGGUGGGGGAUGGACUCGCGGCCUAUCAGCUUGUUGGUGGGGUAGUGGCCUACCAAGGCGACGACGGGUAGCCGGCCUGAGAGGGCGACCGGCCACACUGGGACUGAGACACGGCCCAGACUCCUACGGGAGGCAGCAGUGGGGAAUAUUGCACAAUGGGCGAAAGCCUGAUGCAGCGACGCCGCGUGAGGGAUGACGGCCUUCGGGUUGUAAACCUCUUUCACCAGGACGAAGCUAACGUGACGGUACCUGGAGAAGAAGCACCGGCUAACUACGUG
rnacentral:rRNA from 1 species